AAGAACCGUAACACAGGUGCUGCAUGGCUGUCGUCAGCUCGUGUCGUGAGAUGUUGGGUUAAGUCCGCAACGAGCGCAACCCUUGUCAUUAGUUGCUACAUUCAGUUGGGCACUCUAAUGAGACUGCCGGUGACAAGCCGGAGGAAGGUGGGGAUGACGUCAAGUCCUCAUGGCCCUUAUAGGUGGGGCUACACACGUUAUACAAUGGCUGGUACAAAGGGUUGCCAACCCGCGAGGGGGAGCCAAUCCCAUAAAGCCAGUCGUAGUCCGGAUCGUAGUCUGCAACUCGACUACGUGAAGUCGGAAUCGCUAGUAAUCGUGGAUCAGAAUGUCACGGUGAAUACGUUCCCGGGUCUU
rnacentral:rRNA from 1 species